UAAGACAUAGUAAAAGGUAUAAAAAACGUAGUUAUAGACGUGAAACUGUCUAAAAAACAUAAGAAUUUUAUAAGUAGUUUUAAACUUUUUAAAUCUCAGUUGCCUUGAGACAAGUUUUUUAAAACAUUUAUAUAAAUUACAUAUAUGAAAGGUGUGUGUGAAGAAUAGUGGGCUAAUAUCUUAACUAUUUAUUUGCUCUAGAUUUUGUGUUUUUGGUGGUUAAUAAAAUAACAGACGUUCAGCUGGACUGAACUCUUAAUUACCUAAUAUAUUAGUUCUUUCUCUGAUUGGAGCUGGUGUCAUGCUAACCAUCAAUCUCAUAACCUUAGGCCUUAGGUUUCUUGUUCAGUGCUUCAAGGUCAAUAAGAUCAGAACUUGCACAUUUGUGGAUGUAGAAAUUCACCUUUGAGUUGAGAUGGUGUCAAAACAAUCAUGAAUGUAUAGGAAGGAACCUGGAAGGUCCAACUUCAUUAUUUCGAUUUUCACUAAAACCUGCCUCUCUCUCUCUCUCUCUCUCUCACUCUCUCUCUCUCUCAAACUUCUUUUCACAAGCAAAAGUUUCCACAAUUACAAUCAAUCUGUUUGUUUGAUCAGAUUCAUAUUUCAACUCAAUUGCUCCUCUGAGCUAUGAAUGUUGCCAUUGGUUGGCAAAUCAAAGCUACUUAAAACUUUAUCUGACCAUUUUGGUUUUGACACGACCCGUCCUAAAUAUUAACUAAUAUCUAAAGUAAGUCGUGCGAGGAACACUAUUUAAAGAAGUAUUCUAAAAUUUCCAUAUAUUCUCGUUUGAUCCCAACCCUACCUGCACAAAACGACACUCCCAAUACCUCAGAUCCAACCUCAACACCUUGAGCCUCUGUGCUCCCCAUAAUUUCACAACCUCCAUAACACAAAACAUAAAUAUAAUUCAAAAUGCACGACAUAGUAUGCAAUGUUCGUACUUAAUCUCAUUGUACCCUUGGAGUUCGUAGCUCGUCUUAUACCUCAACCUCCCAACCUGCUAAGACGACGGGGUCAAUAACAAUCAUACAACAUGCUAUAAACAUCGAACAGUGUAGAUUUAUAUUUAACACAAUGUCCCCUCGGGAAACAACCACGGAACCACACGACACUUGACCAGUCAUUAGUCCUCUCAUUUCUAAUCUUUAUCAUAAGUCUACUAGUAUAUCCUCCCUCUUCUAGCGACUCGGUUCCACAAUCUACAGAGACCAUUAGUUCAUCCCCUCUCUCCUAGUGACUCAAUAAUCUGCCGGUUCAUCCCCUGUCUUAUAGUUCUACCAGUUCAUCCCCUGCCUCUGGGUUCUACCAGUUCAUCCCGUCUCUCUCGGUUCUGCCAGUGCAUACCCUCUCUUCUCGGUUCUGCCAGUUCAUACCCUCUCUUCUCGGUUCUGCCGGUUCAUCCCCUCUCUUCUCGGUUCUACCAGUUCAUUCCCUCUCUCUCGGUUCUACCGGUUCAUCCCAUCUCUUCUCGGUUCUACCUACUCUCCUCAAAGUAUCCGACAUAAGCCCCAUAACAUAACCCCGAGUCUUACUCGUAAACAAAUAUACAGUCACUGUCACAGACAUAACAUCAACCCAUCACAAAAGCAUCAUCAUGUUCAUAAACAACUAAAUAACGUUUAAACACACAAUUCCACUAGUAUGAUGUUGAUACCACUAUAAUAACCCAACUUGAGUUUACGUUUCAAAACCCAAAUUAGAUCAUUAAAGAACGAUAGGUAUUAUAUAAUAAAGGUGGCUGCACCCAAACCUUGUUCGGGAUGCCUACGCACCAAAACCUUGUUCAAGUCACUCGUAGUUCAACUAUUCACCAUAAUCAUGCGACCUCCUAACCAUUACGAAACGUAUCACAAACACAACAUCACAACCGACACACACAAUUAAUAUCAUAACCAUCACCCAUCAAACACACAACACAACAUCAGAGCCAACACUAAAUGAACCCAAAGCCUAUGACAAUAACACAUUAUUCUUUAUAACGAUAAUCUAAAUCCACUAAUUCAUACGAUAACCAAAUUCAACAGUUAAGACAUCGAUAAGUUUGUAUCGACGUAUAUUACACGAUGGAGUGACUCAAUGCUCCAAUAAUGCCAGCACGUCGAAUCAACUCGACCCUAACAUGAAACAUAUAGAUCACCAGAAAACAAACCUUUUUCAUGACGCCGUCGAAUCCCAGAUCGGCCGGGAAGUGACUGGAAAAUGCAAAGAAAGAUUUGGAACAGUGCACCAAAUUCAAUUUCAUGAUGCAACUCAAAUCGGUGUCCAACUCCGAUUAUAUCACUGCCAAAAGGGAGGAUCACGCUGACUUGUAGCAGUCCCAAGCUCCAGAGCCGCCAGAAACGCUUGAACGGUGACGAUGAAAUCUGUAGAAAUUUUCAUCCCUCGUUGCUCCUCGCACGGCGGUCAACGUGGUGCAAAUCUGUUGUAGAUCGACGAGGAAUGGCAAGAAGGUUUGAAUGGAAACGGUGGCGCGUCGAUUGAUGGCCGGACGGCGGAGAUCGGCGCCGGAGCCGAUCACGGGGUCGAGAUGAACAGUAGCGAGAGAAUUUGAAAAUUUCCAAUUUUCUGAUUUUCUCUCCUUUAAUCCCCAUAUUUAUACUAUUUUCCGAAAAUACCCAAAACACUUCUUGAUUCGUAACUUUUUCAAACGAACUCUGAUUUAGGCGUACCGCGUUUCUACGAAUUCGUAUCGACAAACACUACAACUUUCGUGAAUGAAGUUUCCUCGUAAAACUUAUGCAUCGAAAAGUCAACUUUUAGAGUCGUCAUACAUAGUAUGACUCUCGUUCCAAAUAAAAUAUAAAACUAUAAUCGCAACGAAUUGUAAAAGAUUCGGGGCGUAUCAGGUUUUCUAAUUAUCAUUGUUGUCUUCAUUUCCUAUAUUGUUGAACUUCUGUUUUAGUUGUUCGUCCUUAUUGAACUGGUUAAGAACAAGUGUGUCACAUCCCGGAAUUGGAACAUGACAAAAGGAGAUUAGCAAGCAAACAAAGCGAUUAAGUUUCGCUCAGACACUCACUAAUGUGAACAAGUGAAUAAAAUUUUCAAUAAGACAACAUGUUCACGAAAUAACAAAUGAUACUACUUUAUAUUUCUGCAAAACUAAAUUAAAUUUAUACAACGAGAAUGCGGAAGGUAGCGUUAAUGACACUGACUCAAUUUAAACAAGUAGACAGCCCAAUUUUAACACAAAAUGAAGGUGGCUACAAACAAUGAAUAAACCUCGGGAAACUUUCUCGAAAACAUUGUUAAUAAACAUAAGAAUGAAAUGCUUAAGGGUAAACACCAACGCUAACUCUCAAAUGAGGCUCCUAGCUCCGAAAAUAACAAUUGGACCUGCAAGACAACUAUCGUAGGGGUGAGCGUCGUCCUCGCUUGCCCAGUAGGGGUCAGCCCGCCUAUGAGGUUUGAAAACCAAAAUCAGGUAAGGAUAAGUUUUAUAAAACUUGAGGGUAGUUUUGAGUACUCAGAGUACAACCAUUUAAUUAAAAUAAUGCAAGUUUAGGAAUAUCAUCAUGCUAAAAUAGUUUGUGGAGCUCCAAAGGUAGGAUCAGGCAAUUCAACUUCAAGCAAUGCUCGACCGAUCCUAGCGCCUAAAUAGUCGACGCUAACUACACGUCUGUUAUAAUAACAGAGUAGCGAGAGUGUCCAUUUAAACGGAAUGCCCUCAAUAGUAAAGUAUAAAAUGUGGAUCCAAUAAUAAAUAGGGCAUUGCCGCUCCGGAGGUUCACGGUCAUCGACACCGUAGGAUUACCUAGUAUGCUAGGCUCCCAUCACUCUCAGGUCAACACACGCGAGGAUUCACUACUUACUAUAUCUUCAAAUCGUGCCUAGUCUCAGGUUUUCACAACAUUUAAUGCAUCAUAAAUUAUUCAACCGAGAAAGAGACUGUAUAAUUUAUUUGGCCCAAAACACAAUAUAGGAGGGUUAGCUCCCCUACCUGGAAUUACGUGCAGAAUCCCACCCGUUAUCCAAAUCAAUAGAAAAAGCUGAUGUUGUUGCUCGUACCAUCAACUUUGAAUUUAUGGAUCAUAAAUGAGUCAACAUCAAAGUCGAAUAACGAAAAUAAGUUGACUCAAUCAUUUUCCUAGUUUGACCAAGAAAGUCAACAUUUUGACUUUUAGUUGACCAAGUCUUUCAUGGUUUGACUAGAAAUUGACCAUGUUGACCAAUUCUUAGAAAAUCCAAGAAUAAUCCAAUUUCAAUAGUCAAUCGAUACUAAGCAUAGUUUAUGGUUAUAUAAGGCAUUCGAAUAGAUCGGAGGAGAAGAACCCGAUUUUAAGUUUUUCCAGCCAAAUCUCUAACUUCAGGCCCAUUUUUGUCCAAAAAGAAAAGAAGUAACUAAAAAUGAAAAUCAUCUCAUCUUCAUUCCCCAUUCUACAACUCCGAUUACCAUGGCUACCAUGAUCCCAUGAUCAUCUCCUUCUCCUCCUUCGCCAUUUCAAAGACCAAAGUUCUUCUAGAAUCUCUAUCCCCUCAUCACUCACCAAAACCCAAAUCCUCCACUCCCUCAAGUCCCUUUUUGUAACCGUCGCCACUCUCUCACCUUUGCCUACUGCUAAGGUGGAGAAGUAGAGCACCGCCGAAUUCAACCCCACCAAACCAGAAAAGCCUGCUGCUGCUCCAGAACCACUACUCACCUUGACUCGCCUCUAUUAGGAGGCUAACGCGCGUCAACCCCAACAAUCCACUAAGUUGUCCACAUGUCAAAUCUAACGGUGUAGAUGAGCCGUGUACAUACACCGCCCGUGUACCGUAUAAGCUCUCAUCUCUAAUCGAUAGAGGAGCUACAGAAGGCUAGUCAAUUAGUAAGGUUGUUAUAAGUGUGCGCAGGUUGAGUCUGUAGAAUUGGAAACUCUAAUUACCCAAAAUUUUAUGUGCUUCCUUACUGUCGGCCUCUAAUGCAGCACUUAAGAUUCUUCAAUGGGGUAACCUCAGAGGCUCAGAGCAUUACCCUCUUGGAAGACGCAAAGAAACUGGUCGAGAAAAUAUUGCAAAGUCGGAAAGAUGGCUUUCCCCACAUUGGACUGAUACCUUACUUUGGUUUCAAGGUGUAUGGAGAGUCUAAAACCUACUAGUCUUUGUUUAAGAUCCAAAAGUUUAUUACUUAACACUAUAUUGUGCUUUAAGUUUAUUAUUGAUCAGAAUGAACUUUCAAAGGGAUAAAAGUCUGAUGUUUUGUUUUCAUUACAGGUACAAGCUAAAUGGUCUGAAGGAGAGCAAUCAAUUACGGCAAGACUUUCAAAAAAAAAAUUAAGGCAAACGGCGAAGAUGCUUUUCCAGUUAUAGUCUAUAUUUUCAUAGGCACUGGUGUGAUCCUCCUUGUCUGGUAAUAGAUGAUUUUAUAGUCUAUGCUAUAAUGGCGUUGGAGCUCAUACCUAUUGGAACAAUCUUGGCGGUUUUAACUAACAAGAUCAUCAAAACAGCUCAAGCUGCAAAGGAUGUUAUUGACAAAGAGAGUUUCAAAGUCCUGUCAAAGCAUUUGUUUGACGUUGAACUGGUUCUAAAAGAUUUACAGCUUCAGAAUCUGAAUGAUUCUCAAGCUACAAUGCUGGCUUUGGAGUUCCUAGAAAGCGAUGUAAAAAAGGCCAAUAAUCUUAUUGAGAAGUACAAAAAUCGAUCUCGAUUCUACUUGCUUGUCAGGUGCCGACACAUGGUCAAGGAGGUACAAGACGUUAUAAGAGACAUGGGAAAGUCUUUAGCUGCUCUAUCUCUUGCAAAUACUGAAGCGUUAUCAAGGAUAUCUGAUCAGAUGAAUAGGCUGCAUAAUGAGAUGCAAAGGGUAGAAUUUGAGGCCUCACAGUCUCAGAUUCAAAUUACUGACAGGCUGAAUCAGGGUCUUCAAGACCAGAUCCUUGACCAGGGUUUCGCUAAUGAUAUGCUCGAAAAAAUAGCUAUGGAAGUUGGGGUGCCUUUAGAGCCCUCAAAGAUGAGCAAAGAGCUUGCAGAUAUCAGAAAGGAGAAAGAGGAAGCUGCUAACAGGAAAGAAAGAGCUGAAGCUUUUUUCUUAGGACAGGUUAUUGAGCUGCUCUCUCGAGCUGAUGCUGCAAGGGAUUAUGAAGAAGUAAAGAAGACAUACAACCAACGUGUUCAGGCCAUAGAGAGAUAUGACACAAGUGAAGAGCACAUUCCACCACUUAAAGCUUUUAUUUGCUAUCUGAAAGGAACUGUGAUGGUUGAACCGGUCAGCCUUUGCACUGGUACUACAUGCGAGAGAUCUGCCAUCAUAGCUUGGUUUGAAAGUGGAGAGAGAACCGACCCAGAAACUAGAGAGAUUCUUGAAGAUACUUCCUGGCGGUCUAAUCUUCCAUUAAGAAAAUCAAUAGAAGAGUGGAAAGAACUUAAUUACUGCCUCAAGAUCAGGUCUUCCAAAGUAAAAUUGUUAUCCGGUGUUGAGACAUUGAUGUUAGAGGCUUUAAGCCAAAUGCAAGAUCUCAUGCGAGAGAAUUAUAUUAACAAGGACUGGAUGGCAAUCGAAGGGCUCACUGAUAGUAUAAUCAAUAUCCUUGGGACCUCUCACAACAGAGAUGUGAAGCGCAGGAUUUUGAUCACCUUAAAGGAUCUUGUAGAAGGCCAUGCAAGAAACAAGGAAGAAAUUGUUGAGUCCCCAGGUUGGGAUCAGAUCUUAGGCUGCUUAGGUCGGGACUCGAGCAUCUCAAAGGCUGCAAUUGAAUUGCUAUAUGAUUUGCUGCAAGAGAGAUCUGGUUGGAACGUGUCUGUAUGUAAGAAACUUGCCCAACAAUGCAGCACAACUAUUUUCCUUGUUACCCUCUUAAAGGGCCCUUUGAAGGAGUCGGCUGAAAUUGCUGAAAAAAUCUUGUUGAAGCUUUUCGACAUAGAUGAGGAGAACAUUUCUCGUCCAGCUAAAUCUGGCUGGUAUAAGCCACUUAUUGAUCGUAUAGUUCAAGGGCCAGAGAAGUCAAGGAUAGCAAGGGUCAGAACACUUCUUGACAUGGAAUUGGUCGACUCAGAUUUGAAGCUCCUAGGUGAGGAAGGAAUUAUACCUCCUUUGCUUGAAAUGUUAUCUGGAAGUAUUGGAUCUAUAGAAUCAUCUUUAUCUGCUUUGGGUCAAUUGUCAAGUUGCCAUGCCAACAAAGAGUUGAUUGCUGCUUCAGGUGGAGUUAAUCUAGUUCUGAAACUAAUGGACUCUAAUGUGCGCUCAAUUAUAGUUGCUAAAUGCUAUGAAAUGCUGGAGAAGUUCACUUCUGAUGAUGAUGGAGCUAAAUUCUUUGUUGAUGAAAAUGGUUCACCACUUGAGAUGGAACCGAUUGUCUCCAAUUUGAUUGAAUUACAACCGAAUCCCAACUUGUCUUACAAUGUGAGACGACCUGCCUUGCAGACACUCCAUGGAAUAUGCAAGUUUGAUGCUAGGUUGGUUAAAAAAGCGGUUCUCACUGCCAAUGCCAUAUCUCUGGUCCUUCCUCUUCUUGAUAACACCGAGUCACCAAUACGUGAGAUUGCUAUAAAUUUACUUUUCCUCUUCUCCCAGCAUGAGCCUGAUGGAGUAGUAGAAUACCUUCUCAAGCCAAGAAGGCUGGAAGCUUUAGUGGGUUUUCUCGAGAAUGAUGAGAAAGGUGAUGUACAGAUGGCUGCAGCUGGCCUAUUGGCUAACCUCCCAAAAUCAGAAAUAUCCCUAACUAUAAAAUUAAUUGAACUGGGUGGUCAUACUGCAAUCAUAAACAUUUUGAGAAGAGGGAAUAUGAAAGCAAAAGAAAAUGCUCUAAGUGCUUUAUUUAGGUUUACAGAUCCCACAAAUCUUGAGUCGCAGCGCAUGUUAGUUGAAGGUGGAGCAUACCCUUUGCUUGUGAACGUUCUCAGGUCUAGCUCAGUGACUGCAAAGGCAAGAGCUGCAGCUCUAAUUGGUAAUCUUUCAACUAGCAGUCAAAAACUCUCAGCUGCAUCAAAACCAACGGGUUAUUGGUGUUUCAAGGCAUCCUCCGGUCCUCUAUGCCCGGCACAUGGCGGGAUAUGCAGUGUGACUUCUACAUUUUGUCUCUUGGAAGCCAAGGCAUUGCCUGACUUGGUAAGACUCUUAUAUGGUGAGGUUUAUGAAACUUCCAUUGAAGCAAUGCAGACUCUUUCCACACUGGUUGUUGAAUCCUCUCCUCAAAGAGGAGCCAAUGUCUUGCAUGAGGCUGAUGCCAUAAAACCUAUACUGGAGACUUUGAAUUGGGGAACAGACUCGCUAAAAGAAGAGGCAUUGAGUCUUCUGGAAAAGAUCUUUAAGUCAAAGGAAAUGGUUGAGAAGUAUGGAUCAAAUGCCAGAUUGCGCCUUGCUAGUCUAACUAGUCGGAGUAUUCAUGAGGAUGGCCGUCAUUGGAGGAAGGCGACCAGGGUCAUGUCACUCCUUGAACGUUAUUCAAAAUCAUCGACAUCUAUCGAAACUAUCUUAAUCUUUCUCUGAGAACCAUCACUAUAUCCUGAAUAUAAGCUCAUUUAUGUUCCCUUCUUAGCUGAUUUAGACAUUUAGUGAACGCCAAGCAACAUAUAAGCAUCUUCGUGGAGGUGUGCCAAUCUCAUGCAUAGGUGCAUAGAAGAUUGAAAUCCAGCCUCUUCCUGAUGGCUCAUAGCUAGAAAUAAUUAGCAAGUCUGCAUUUCUGGUGCGAAUGAAUCCAUCCCUUCAAUGCUACUCAAUCAACCGUGUAACAUCGGCUUGAAAUCAUUUGAGAUCCAAAAGCUUGAACAAUCGAGGGAAGAGAAACUUCCUUCACGAAAGUCAUAGAAUUCGUCAAUACGAAUUCGUAGACGCGUAGCACGCUUUAAUCGGAUGUUGUAUGUGGAAGUUAUUAGUAACAGAAGUUUGAUUUCCGAUUUUGGAAAUAAUAUAAAAGGAAUGAGAGGAGAUUAGAAAUCAGAAAAUCAGUUUUUUUUAUCAAAAAAUCAGCUUGGUUAUUGUUCACCCGACCCAAAAAUCUUCUCCGGCCGAUUUCUCCACCAUCCGACGUCACCUCGUGUCGUGCCACCUAUCAAACUAACGGGCUCGACGAUCUCCAUCUUUUGGGCUACACCUUGCACUCCGGCGACAACCACACACGGUGCAGCAACUGCCGGAAGUUGCUACUGUGUCAGCGCCGCCUCCUCCGGCCACCAUAGCUCGAGAUUCUUGGGGAGUUUUACUUGUCUCAGUCCCAGCAACAUUCUCACAAAAGGAAUGAGCCAAAUCGAAGUGUAAGUACCCGAAUCAAGAAUUUCAAUUUCUAGGGUUUGUGAAUAGUGCCGAAUUUAUGUUCUUCGUUGUUUGGACUGUUUAGGCUCGGAUUUAGACCUUGGUGUCAACUAGAAAGUUGUUGGAAAUGUUGUUUAGGUUGUGGUGGUGAAAUUUGGUAAUGAUUGGUAGCGGUCGGUGAACAGUGACGUCGCAUGAAUAGUAACUGUGAAUAAUGAACUGUAACAGUAAAUUAGAACAGUGAUGCCGCAUAAAUAGUAACUGUAAAUAGUGAUCUGUAACAGUAAAUGUGAAACAGUGGCAUGGAAAACAGUAACUGUGAACAGUGUUUUGGUAAAACAGUAACUGUGAACAGUGGUUUAGUAAAAACAGUGAUUAGUUAACAUAAACAAUGUUUUAUGAACAACAUUUAGCUGUGCUGAAAUCGUCACCUGAUAUUUUAAGUAUCAUUUUCUAAGCAUUUAUCGUGCUAUUAGGUGACUGACAAAACGAGUGAGGAAAUUACUUUCAGGGUCGUGGAAGUUGCACGCAGGAAAGAAGGUGAGUAAAAUCUCACAUAUUUACGAAUCUACCCUUGUGGAGAUUCAAGAUGUUGCAAGAGUUUUUAAUAUUGAAUUACGACAUGUAUACGAUAUAGUGGAUUACAUAUAUAUUGUAUAAAUGGUAAUAAGUACAUAUAUAUAUUGUUUGCUAUAUUAUAUACUGUUAUGAAUUCAUUGGAAUUGGUCAUUUCGAUGACGAGAAUUAAAUAUUGAGCAUGUGAUUUAAUUUGUACAAUAUGAGGUGUGAUUAUUGUACGUGGUUUUAACAUGGUGUUUGUUAAAACGUUUUGUCUUCAGACGUGUUUAUGAAAUAUGACAUGUAUAUGAUAUAGCGGAUUAUAUAUAUAUAUAUAUUGUAUAAAUGGUAAAUAGGUACAUAUAUAUAUAUAAUUUGCUAUAUAAUAUACUAUUAUGAUUUUAUCGUGGUGAUGUCAUUU